AUUGCAUCCAUGAUGUUACUUUACAAACUGCGUUAUCUAUCUUAACUUUCCUUCGAAAGGGAUUGAAGAUAAUUUUCUAUACUGAGAUCCGGU